GAUGAAGAACGUAGCGAAAUGCGAUACGUAAUGUGAAUUGCAGAAUUCAGUGAAUCAUCGAGUCUUUGAACGCACAUUGCGCCCCUUGGUAUUCCAUGGGGCAUGCCUGUUCGAGCGUCAUUUGUACCUUCAAGCCUUGCUUGGUGUUGGGUGUUUGUCUCGCCUCUGCGCGCAGACUCGCCUCAAAACAAUUGGCAGCCGGCGUAUUGAUUUCGGAGCGCAGUACAUCUCGCGCUUUGCACUCAGAACGACGACGUCCAAAAGUACAUUUUUACACUCUUGACCUCGGAUCAGGUAGGGAUACCCGCUGAACUUAAGCAUAUCAUAAGCGGAGGA
rnacentral:misc_RNA from 1 species